UUACUUUAAGCUGUUCCAUUUUGGCCAUGAAGAUGCACUUCCUUCUUUCCGCUCUUCUCUUCUUUGUUUUGUUCUCUUCCUCAGUUUCUCUAAAACUCAUGUCCUAUGUGGUUUGUGAAACUUUCUCUAAAAACUGUACUGCUUUUAAUGAAACAACAUGUAUUAAUGGUGAAAAGAUCUGCGUUUUGCAUCUUAAAAACUGCUGUAAGACCGAAGUAUAAAAGGUCAACUCUUGGGAAAAGAAGAACUGCAGAGGUUGUUGAAUACUAUACUGAACUGUUGAGAAUUGUGAACAAAGUUAAAACUCUCAGAAUUUUUGAAACUGACCUUCCUUAUGCACAGCUGCUAUACGAAACCUAUUAUCACUUAGCAGUAGCUUAUCAAAGCUUGAAUCUCCAUAAGAAGGCCAUAGAACAAUUAAAUCUUGCAACAGAAAUUGCAUCAAUCCCUAAGAAUGGUUGUGAAGUUGGAUGUAAUUAUGAAACUUUCUAUCACACUCCAAUAUUUUCAAGAAGAGCAUUUUCUCACGUAGUCCGUGGUAAGAAGAAAGAAGCUCUACAGGAUGCUAACAAAGCUAUUAAUUUGGACAGAUUGAACCCAGAUGUGUACUGUGUCAGAGCUUUGAUCAUAAGAGGGGCAAUUACCAAUUCUCUUCAUCCUAAAACUGAAAAGAACCAUGAGAAUAAAGAUCAUGAGAAGGCUUAUAAAAUAUGCCCGAAGAGCCAGUUUUUCUUGGAUGUAACUAACUUUAAGAAUCCUAAAAUGGCAGAGUUCUAUGAUAAAUUCCUAUGGUCCCUCAACGUUCCUCAUACUGUAACAUCACUGAAUCUAUUGAGAGGAUAUGCUAGCUCUUACACAAAUUUAUCAAGAAAAAAGAUUUCACAGAAAUCGAAAAAAGUUCCCUUAAUGCCUUCUCUAUCAUCUACACCACGAACUACCAGUAGUUAUUUGAAGAGAUCAGCAACAGCAUCAUCUAAUUCUUCAAGCUUUUUGAAGAUACCCCAGUUUCUAUGAAACUCCACGGAGAGCAGAUCCAUUAUGGUUCUGCAAAAAGAGGAAGGAACUCAUAUAUGCAUUUUCAAGAAAUUUUGAAGAGUGCUCCGUAAGAACAGUGCCAUGCUGGUGUCAUCCAAGUCUUCCCUUCUGAAUAAUGUUUUCCUUCUGAAACAGUAAAAUGAAUUAAGUGUUUUAUCUUAGCCUAUUAUACUCUGGUAUCAUCCAAAUUGAUAGUUUUAUUUCUUGCUUACUUCCGGUAUGGAUCAUUGAAAGACACAAAUAAUAUGGCCAAGACUCCAGUCAAAACUGUAUAGUGAGAAUAUUACUGGGAGUGACUGUCAGCCUUGUUUCUGGAUACAUGACUGCUAAAAAGGAAUGGAAUUUUCCUAUCUAUGGGUGUUGGAGGCAUACUUCUGAUGAUCUCGCCAAGCUAUAACCAAUGUGUAUAGGACUGAACUGGGCAAAGCAACCUGUUUGUACUGGAGACCUUGAAGAAAAACAGAAGAAUAGUAGGCAAUUUUGAUAGAGAAAAAAUAAUAAUAAAAUGUCCAUAAUGUUAUUCCA
ensembl:lncRNA